CACUCUGUCACUCAGGCUGGAGUGAAGUGGUGCAAUCACAGUUCACUGAAACCUUGAACUCCUGGGUACAAGGAAUCCUCCUGUCUGGAACUACAGGAAGAAGAUGAUUUUUCACCUAGUGGAGUCAUUGAACAGUGGUCUUCAAAUUGGGAUUAUUUCCAAGAAUAGAUUAAAAUGCCAUGAAAAAGAAAAAAUUAUAGAAAAGCAAAAAGAGCUGAAUGCAGUGAAUGAACAUCUGUGAAUGAAGUUGAGAAGGUAUAUGUGGGGCAGACUAGAAUUGCAGUGCACAGAUACAAGAAUGUUGCCUGCUUUGGAGCCAAGACUGCCUUCCGGAUAAAGGGCCCACAGAGAGCUGAGAGCUGUGUAAUACCUCAAAGACUGAAGAAAAGAGUUAGACAGCCAUCUUUCCUUAGAGGAUUUUGCUGCAGACAGCUUGAACUACCAGAAGGUUAUAUACUGACCAUGGGUAGAGUAAGGAAGAAAUACAUCCUUCGGAAAGGACAAUGAAGAUCUUUACAGCAGGGAGGUGAGGACAAAGUGAUUCUCCCUUCUGGAGGAUGCAGCAAAGUGCUGCCUGCCAUCUUGGAAGCACAGAGUAGCCUUCACCACACUCUAAUCCCAUCAGAGCCUUGAUCUUGGACUUGCCAGCCUUCAGAACAGUCUUGCCUCAUCACUGCCAUGACAGGGGGGUCCAAUGUGAGGAUUCUGGUGUCUAUGCCAAGCAUCUCUUUUCCAACGUAGAUCUGAUUUCUUAACAUAGCCAACAGCAAGUCAACAUCAGCUUUGCAGAGAAAAGCAGGGAUGCGUGUGCACAAAGAAAAGGCCAUGUGAGGACAUAGCAAGAGGGAAGCUGUCCGCAAGCCAAGGAAAAAGGCCUCAGGAGAAACCAAAUCUGCCAAUACAUUGAUCUUGGACUUCCAGCAUUCAGAAAUGGAGACUUGUAUUUUCUGACAUUCAACUUAAUCGAAGAAUAAAGCUUUAACAGUGGCAUCAGUGACAUGAUGAAUGAUGCAUCAUUUUGAAGUAAUAAUGGUUUUCCCAGUGACUCAGAAAUAGCAGUAUGUUCAGAUUCAGUGUGCCUGUUCAUGAGAGCUCUGCAGAAAUUGCACAUCUGGCUCUUUGCCUGUGCACCUGAAGUUAUCUCAGGAGAAAUUAUACAAAUUAAAUACAGACACAGAGAAGGUCUUUUUUAAUUCAAAGGAAAAGAAUAUAUAUUCAAGAAAAGCAAAAAAGCUGGUUUAAGACAUUCCUGGAAGGACACUGUGAAAGGAGACAAGUAGAAAAGAGCUUUCUUCUUCUAUCUGCUGUGCUGCUUUUCAACGUGACAGCCAAUCCAGAAGCAUGUGGCAAGCCUGGUGGCACUCACACCAGUGGUUCAUAUGGACAAGCUGCGGUCAACAUUCAGGAUGUUUUCUCAUCACCUAGCAGGCUACUCCUGUACAACACCUAUGACCAUGGUCUCUGGAAAGAUCUUCACUAUCACGUGCACUUACUUCAGCAUGUUUCUUUACCACUAGCAGUCUGCAUGUUCUUGCCCUUGCCAGAAAUACCUGAAUCUCUAUUAGCAGGGGACCUCGUCUAAGUUCUUAGUUCCUUCCUGAUUCACACUCUCUUAGCUCUAGAAGUGGUAGUUGUUUCCUGCAUUUGUGACUUUAAAACCAUUCAGUAUUCUUUUUUACCCCUUUCCAUAGUUAACAAAUAUGUAUACUGAAUUUUUCCUUCUUUAAAUACUAAUAUAUUUUCUAUUCCCUAACUGCAUCCUGACUAAUACAAAUACUAAAGGAUUUUCUCAGGCAGAAAUAAAAAGAUUCCAUAAUGGAACACAGGAAUCAAGAAAUAAAUGAGAAGCAAAGGUAAAAGUAAAUAUAAAUAUGAAAACUUAUUGACUGCAUCAUCAUGUCUUCUGAAGUUUAUAAUAUGUAAUGAAAUAAAAUGCAUGGCAACAAUAUCACAAAGGGUAGGAGAAUUAAUUCAGUCAAAUGAUUCUUACAUUCUUGCAUUUUCCAGGAAAAAGUUAAAGUACUAAUUGCAUUAGAUUUUAAUGUCAAGAUGAAUAAUGUAAUAGUGAAGAUAAUCCCUGAAACUAUAGUAUAUCUAAGUAUAAUUAAAACACUAAUGGAGAAGAAAUACUGAAUAAUAAUGGUACUAAUAAUAACAAUACUGGUCAUUACAGAAAUAGCUGAUAAAGUAGCGGAAAACAGGCAAAUAUAUGAAACAAAAAUCAAACAUUGACAGGAUGUUAAAUAUAAGCUAGAUACAAUAAUUAUUAUAUUAAUGGUAAAUGAAUUUUGAAACUCCAAAUAAAAUACACAUAUCAUCAUAUUGGUUUAAAGUAAAAUCAAACCCAAUUUCAUACUAAUUACUGCACAAACUAAGAUACAGAAUUUUACAGAAAUUAAAGAAAGUAAAAAAAAAGAACAAACAAAUAUUAUCCAAAAUAAAGCUGACAGUUUCAAUUUUUUUAAAAGGGAUAUUUCAAAAGGAUAAAAAAUUUUAAUUCUCAAUUUUCAUGGACUUAUUAACAUUCUCCUAGGAUAUAUAAAGCCAAACUUGAUAGAAUUUUUAACUAGGAGAACUAGAUAAAUCAAUUACCAUAAUGGGAGAAUUUAAAAUGCCACUGUCGCUAUCUGAUAGAAAAAAAAAGAUCUAUAAAAAUGGUGCUUCCUAUAGAUAUUUUAUAGAAACCCUUUAUCAACUUAAAGACAUUCUUCAUGCCUUAGUUAUCCAAGCACUUUAAAAAAUCAUUAUACAUAGUGACUUCCGCUGAAUAAAUUUUCUGUAUAUUGUGAUGAUAAUAUUAUUUCCUACUUUAAUGAUUUUAUGUAAUAAAUUAAUGUUUUUUCACUGAUGUUAAACCAACCUGGAAUUCCUUUUAUGAACUCAAUUUGAUCGAAAUGCAUUGUUUUUAAUGCAUUGAUGAAUUAGCUUGUUAAUUUGUUUAUGGUAUUGCAUCUAUACUCAUAAAAGUGAUUGAUCAAUAUUUUUCCUUUACUGUCUUUGUCUAAUAUUAC
rnacentral:lncRNA from 10 species